AUGGUACGUCCCGCUGAUGACACUCCGGCUGGGCACGGUGGUCGUGAUCAUCGCCUCCUCCGUGGCCACGGCCCGGGAGGUCCUCCAGAGGCACAACGCCGUCCUGUCCUGCCGCAGCACACCUCCAACUCCGUUUUCCUCCUGACGCCGCGCUGCAACCCACAAGUGGCGUGCGCUGCAGAGGAUCGGCGCCGAGCACCUGCAGUCACCCAGGGGCUCGACGGGGAUGCGCUGCGGCCGCUGCUAUGGGACGCCGUCCUCGGCAUGCUCCGCCGCGUGUCGGACCUGGCGGCGUCGGGCGCGCCCGUGGAGGUCGGCCACGCGGCGUUCGCGUCCAUGAUGGACCUACAGUGGCGCGUCAUGUUCUCUGCCGGCCUGGACGAGCCGACGUCCCGCGAGUUGCACGGCUUCGCGGGGAGGCCGUGGCGCACUCCCUCAGGCCCAACGUCUCGGACUUCUUCCCGGCGCUCGCGGCUGCCGACCUCCAGCGCGUUAGGCGCGGUUUUACCACACACUUGGCGCCAUCUAUGGCGUGUGCGGCACCUACGACAACAACGUCGGCGCCCUCAACGGCGUUCUCCGCGACAUGCUCUCCCAUGGCACGGCUCGCCCAUGCUCUUCAUCGACGAGACGAUCCCGGCGCGGAUCUUCUUCAAGUCGUGGCAGCCAGCGGCCGUUGCAGGCACCGAGGUGCCGCGCGCCAUCCUCGUGGUGCUGGCCCCCUAG
rnacentral:rRNA from 1 species